rnacentral:misc_RNA from 1 species
AAGUCGUAACAAGGUCUCCGUAGGUGAACCUGCGGAGGGAUCAUUAACACUAUUUGAUUUUGUAUUUAUUUUACUAUAAAUAUAGAAUUCAAAUUUUUUAUACACCACGUGCAAUUCGGUAACCCUUAAAAAAGGUAACCAUUCACCUGUCUUGUUGGGUAAGGAAAUGGAGCGUGAUGAAGUGUGUUAACUGAUAAAAAGGUUAAUAACAACCAUUACCGUCCCUUCUGAGACAGUUUUUUUUGGAGAUGGAACACUUCAUUUAUCUCGACCUCAAUAUGCCAUUCGUUUUUUUUUCACCAUACUCCAACUGACUGUUUUAGUUGAAGGCAAUUGAAAGAUUGUACUUCUUCAUGAUUUUCUAAACUAAGCACAACUCUUAGCAACGGAUAUCUUGGUUCUC